rnacentral:rRNA from 1 species
UCCUACGGGAGGCAGCAGUGAGGAAUAUUGGACAAUGGGCGGAAGCCUGAUCCAGCCAUGCCGCGUGCAGGAAGAAGGUUCUAUGGAUUGUAAACUGCUUUUGUAUGGGGGCAAUAAGAUCUACGUGUAGAUUGAUGAGAGUACUAUACGAAUAAGCAUCGGCUAACUCCGUGCCAGCAGCCGCGGUAAUACGGAGGAUGCGAGCGUUAUCCGGAUUUAUUGGGUUUAAAGGGUGCGUAGGCGGCUAUGUAAGUCAGCGGUGAAAAGUUGCAGCUUAACUGUAACCGUGCCGUUGAUACUGUGUAGCUAGAAAGUAGAUGAAGUGAUCGGAAUGUGUGGUGUAGCGGUGAAAUGCAUAGAUAUCACACAGAAUAUCGAUAGCGAAGGCAGGUCACUAAGGUAUAUUUGACGCUGAUGCACGAAAGUGUGGGGAUCAAACAGGAUUAGAUACCCUGGUAGUCCACACUGUAAACGAUGAUAACUAGUUGUCGGCGAUAGACAGUCGGUGACCAAGCGAAAGCGAUAAGUUAUCCACCUGGGGAGUACGACCGCAAGGUUGAAACUCAAAGGAAUUGACGGGGGCCCGCACAAGCGGAGGAACAUGUGGUUUAAUUCGAUGAUACGCGAGGAACCUUACCCGGGCUCGAACGGUGCAGGAAUACAUCAGAGAUGGUGUAGCUAGUAAUAGUCUGUAUCGAGGUGCUGCAUGGUUGUCGUCAGCUCGUGCCGUGAGGUGUCGGCUUAAGUGCCAUAACGAGCGCAACCCUUGUUGUUAGUUGCCAUCGGGUAAAGCCGGGGACUCUAACGAGACUGCCAGCGUAAGCUGUGAGGAAGGGGGGGAUGACGUCAAAUCAGCACGGCCCUUACGUCCGGGGCGACACACGUGUUACAAUGGGAGGUACAGAGGGCAGCUACCUGGUGACAGGAUGCCAAUCUCGAAAGCCUUUCUCAGUUCGGAUCGGAGUCUGCAACUCGACUCCGUGAAGUUGGAUUCGCUAGUAAUCGCGCAUCAGCCAUGGCGCGGUGAAUACGUUCCCGGGCCUUGUACACACCGCCCGUCAAGCCAUGGAAGCUGGGGGUGCCUAAAGUUCGUAACCGCAAGGAGCGACCUAGGGCAAAACCGGUAACUAGGGCUAAGUCGUAACAAGGUAGCCGUACCGGAAGGUGUGGCUG